rnacentral:rRNA from 1 species
AUUGAACGCUGGCGGCAGGCCUAACACAUGCAAGUCGAGCGGAGGAAGGGAGCUGGCUCCUGGAUUCAGCGGCGGACGGGUGAGUAAUGCCUAGGAAUCUGCCUGGUAGGGGGGGAUAACGUCCGGAAACGGGCGCUAAUACCGCAUACGUCCUGAGGGAGAAAGUGGGGGAUCUUCGGACCUCACGCUAUCAGAUGAGCCUAGGUAGGAUUAGCUAGUUGGUGGGGUAAAGGCCUACCAAGGCGACGAUCCGUAACUGGUCUGAGAGGAUGACCAGUCACACUGGAACUGGGACACGGUCCAGACUCCUACGGGAGGCAGCAGUGGGGAAUAUUGGACAAUGGGCGAAAGCCUGAUCCAGCCAUGCCGCGUGUGUGAAGAAGGUCUUCGGAUUGUAAAGCACUUUAAGUUGGGAGGAAGGGCAGUAAGUUAAUACCUUGCUGUUUUGACGUUACCAACAGAAUAAGCACCGGCUAACUUCGUG